GAUGAACGCUAGCUACAGGCUUAACACAUGACAGUCGAGUGACCGGAGCACGGGUGAGUAACACGUAUCCAACCUGCCCUUUACUCGGGGAUAGCCUUUCAAAAGAAAGAUUAAUACCCGAUGUAAAGGAUGGGGAUGCGUUCAAUUAGGUUGUUGGUGAUGUAACUGCUCACCAACCCUUCGAUGGAAAGGGGUUCUGAGAGGAAGGUCCCCCACAUUGGAACUGAGACACGGUCCAAACUCCUACGGGAGGCAGCAGUGAGGAAUAUGGGUCAAUGGGCGUUAGCCUGAAACAGCCAAGUAGCGUGAAGGAUGAAGGCUUAUGGGUCGUAAACUUCUUUUAUAUAAGAAUAGGUAUUAUAUGAAUAAGGAUCGGCUAACUCCGUGCCAGCAGCCGCGGUAAUUC
rnacentral:rRNA from 1 species